UUUUUUUUUUUAGACUUGGAUCUAGGGGCCCAGCCCUAUAUCCCUGCUUGAAUAGAUGGUCAUCUGUGCUACACAGCUACUGGCGUCAUCAACCUGCAAAGAGGGGGAAGCAACCAAGAUGUAUGUCGUCCAAAUCAACCUCAGACUCUUUCUUCCCGACCUAUUUGACUCUCUGGCCGCAAUUAUUUAGGUGGUAUCCCAAGAUUGAAGAGAUCGAAUUACUCCCCGGAACACACGAAAGACAAAUAUAA
rnacentral:lncRNA from 1 species